rnacentral:rRNA from 1 species
GACGAACGCUGGCGGCGUGCUUAACACAUGCAAGUCGAACGAUGAACCCGGAGCUUGCUCCGGUGGAUUAGUGGCGAACGGGUGAGUAACACGUGAGUAACCUGCCCUUGACUCUGGGAUAACUGCGGGAAACUGUAGCUAAUACCGGAUACGACCCUCGGCGGCAUCGCCAAGGGGUGGAAAGAAUUUCGGUCAAGGAUGGACUCGCGGCCUAUCAGCUAGUGGGUGAGGUAACGGCUCACCAAGGCGACGACGGGUAGCCGGCCUGAGAGGGUGACCGGCCAACCUGGGACUGAGACACGGCCCAGACUCCUACAGGAGGCAGCGGUUGGGAAUAUUGCACAAUGGGCGCAAGCCUGAUGCAGCAACGCCGCGUGAGGGAGGACGGCCUUCGGGUUUUAAACCUCUUUUAGUAGGGAAGAAGAGAAAGUGACGGUACCUGCAGAAAAAGCACCGGCUAACUACGUGCCAGCAGCCGCCGUAA